rnacentral:rRNA from 1 species
CCUACGGGAGGCAGCAGUGGGGAAUAUUGGGCAAUGGGCGCAAGCCUGACCCAGCAACGCCGCGUGAAGGAAGAAGGCUUUCGGGUUAUAAACUUCUUUUCUCAGGGACGAAGCAAGUGACGGUACCUGAGGAAUAAGCCACGGCUAACUACGUGCCAGCAGCCGCGGUAAUACGUAGGUGGCAAGCGUUAUCCGGAUUUACUGGGUGUAAAGGGCGUGUAGGCGGGAAAGCAAGUCAGAUGUGAAAACCAUGGGCUCAACCUGUGGCCUGCAUUUGAAACUGUUUUUCUUGAGUACUGGAGAGGCAGACGGAAUUCCUAGUGUAGCGGUGAAAUGCGGAGAUAUUAGGAGGAACACCAGUGGCGAAGGCGGUCUGCUGGACAGCAACUGACGCUGAGGCGCGAAAGCGUGGGGAGCAAACAGGAUUAGAUACCCCUGUAGUC